rnacentral:rRNA from 1 species
GUGGGGAAUCUUGCGCAAUGGGCGAAAGCCUGACGCAGCCAUGCCGCGUGAAUGAUGAAGGUCUUAGGAUUGUAAAAUUCUUUCACCGGGGACGAUAAUGACGGUACCCGGAGAAGAAGCUCCGGCUAACUUCGUGCCAGCAGCCGCGGUAAUACGAAGGGGGCUAGCGUUGCUCGGACUUACUGGGCGUAAAGGGCGCGUAGGCGGACAGCUUAGUCAGAGGUGAAAGCCCAGGGCUCAACCUUGGAAUUGCCUUUGAUACUGGCUGUCUUGAAUUAGGGAGAGGUGAGUGGAACUCCGAGUGUAGUGGUGAAAUUCGUAGAUAUUCGGAAGGACACCAGUGGCGAAGGCGACUCACUGGCCCAAUACUGACGCUGAGGCGCGAAAGCGUGGGGAGCAAACAGGAUUAGAUACCCCUGUAGUCC